rnacentral:rRNA from 1 species
UACAGAGGGUGCAAGCGUUAAUCGGAAUUACUGGGCGUAAAGCGUGCGCAGGCGGUUUUGUAAGUCUGUCGUGAAAUCCCCGGGCUUAACCUGGGAAUUGCGAUGGAGACUGCAAGGCUAGAAUCUGGCAGAGGGGGGUAGAAUUCCACGUGUAGCAGUGAAAUGCGUAGAGAUGCGGAGGAACACCGAUGGCGAAGGCAGCCCCCUGGGCUGACACUGACGCUCAGGCACGAAAGCGUGGGGAGCAAACAGG